GCGACUGUGGUCUAGUGGUAGAAUUCUCGCCCGCCACGCGGGAGACCCGAGUUCAAUUCUCGGCGGUCGCA
rnacentral:tRNA from 1 species